rnacentral:lncRNA from 9 species
UUCGACCCCUAGCCUGGGAACCUCCAUAUGCUGUGGGUGUGGCCCAAAAAGACAAAAAAAUGAACAAAUACUGUGCCCAGAGCUUGGUAUUCCCAAGUCUUCUGUAACUGUGUUGGGAUAUCAAGGGUAGGCAGAAUUUGGUAGAAAAAAUUCUGUUAGAUAAGCCUUAGAUAAAUGCACAAAUUCAUUCACUGAAACUUGAGGUCGCCUUUUUUUAUUCCUACUCUUUGUCUUGGUAACGUUUAUAGACAUCAGGUUUCAGGAAUGCCAAGAGUUCCUGAAAUGUCCUGGCACAUCCUGAGACUGGAUGAGCAGUCGCGUCUGAAUCAGCAGAUACGGGCAGAGGAUAGGGAGUGGCCUUGGACCCCAGCCUGGUGCACACAGUGGAUGCCCGUACAAGUUUCAAAGACACGGUGA